UAAUACGAAGGGUGCAAGCGUUACUCGGAAUUACUGGGCGUAAAGCGCACGCAGGCGGUUUGUUAAGUCAGAUGUGAAAUCCCCGGGCUCAACCUGGGAACUGCAUUUGAAACUGGCAAGCUAGAGUCUCGUAGAGGGGGGUAGAAUUCCAGGUGUAGCGGUGAAAUGCGUAGAGAUCUGGAGGAAUACCGGUGGCGAAGGCGGCCCCCUGGACGAAGACUGACGCUCAGGUGCGAAAGCGUGGGGAGCAAACAGGAUUAGAUACCCUGGUAGUCCACGCUGUAAACGAUGUCGAUUUGGAGGUUGUGCCCUUGAGGCGUGGCUUCCGGAGCUAACGCGUUAAAUCGACCGCCUGGGGAGUACGGCCGCAAGGUUA
rnacentral:rRNA from 1 species